GUUCUUUAAAAGUGUUAUAAUCCUGAAAGACAGAGACUGAGGGAAGUGUCCCAGAUAGGAGGAGACAAAGCAGACGUGAGAACUCAGUGCAGUGUGUGAGCCUGGGUUGGAGCCUGGAACAGAAGAAGAUCAGUGGGACAACUGACAAAGAUGGAAUAAGAUUCUCCAUGUGAGGGUUCACGUGGAGCAGUUGGAGCAGUGGUCCUCAACCAUGGCUGCAUGUUGGAAUCACUUGGGAGAUGUAAAACCUACUGAUGUUUGGGUCCCACCCUAGAGAUGCUGAUAAACCCAGGGGAAGUUACCUGACAUGUCUGCGAGGACACUCAAGCAGCCUUAUGGAGAGGCCAUGUGGCGAAGGUCUGAGGCCUCCUGUCAACAGCUUGGUGAGGGCGCCAUCUUGGAAACAGAUCCUCCAGCUCCAGGCAAGCCCUCAGAUGACUGUAGUCCUGAUUGACAUCUUGAUUUCAACCUCAUGGGAAUCCCUGAGCCAGAGCCAUCCAGCUCAGUCACGCCUUAACUCCUGAUCCACAGAACUGGCGAGAUAAUAAAAGUUUAUUGUUUUCAGCA
rnacentral:lncRNA from 1 species